rnacentral:rRNA from 1 species
AACGAACGCUGGCGGCGUGCCUAAGCCAUGCAAGUCGAACGGGUUGUCGCAAGACAAUCAGUGGCGGAACUGGGUGAGUAAUACGUGGGUAAUCUGCCCGAGAGUGGGGAAUAGCCCUUCCAACGAGGGGGUAACACCGCAUAUUAUCGCGAAUCCGCAUGGAUUUGCGAUGAAAACAGGGGAUCGCAAGACCUUGUGCUCUCGGAUGAACCCGCGCCCCAUUAGCUAGUUGGUGAGGUAACGGCUCACCAAGGCGACGAUGGGUAGCCGGCCUGAGAGGGUGACCGGCCACACUGGGACUGAGAUACGGCCCAGACUCCUACGGGAGGCAGCAGGCGGGAAUAUUGGGCAAUGGACGAAAGUCUGACCCAGCGACGCCGCGUGAGGGAUGAAGCUUCUCGGAGCGUAAACCUCAAACGGAUAGGGACGAAAAGCCUAUCGGCUAAUAUCCGGUAGGCCUGACGGUACCUGUUACGAAGCUCCGGCUAACUCCGUG